CAGCAGCCACGGUAAUACAGAGGGUGCGAGCGUUAAUCGGAUUUACUGGGCGUAAAGCGUGCGUAGGCGGCUUCUUAAGUCGGAUGUGAAAUCCCUGAGCUUAACUUAGGAAUUGCAUUCGAUACUGGGAAGCUAGAGUAUGGGAGAGGAUGGUAGAAUUCCAGGUGUAGCGGUGAAAUGCGUAGAGAUCUGGAGGAAUACCGAUGGCGAAGGCAGCCAUCUGGCCUAAUACUGACGCUGAGGUACGAAAGCAUGGGGAGCAAACAGGAUUAGAGACCCCCGUAGUCCCUGUCUCUUAUAA
rnacentral:rRNA from 1 species